rnacentral:rRNA from 1 species
UACCACCAGUGGGUGGCUCCUUCCUCGGUAGGGGGCUGGAGCAAAAUGGAUAGUUUCCCCUACGCCCGCCCCCACGUACGAGUAUGGUUGGAGGGGGUAGAACAGAAGACCACAAUGCAGAAAUAGUACCACUCCCCUCCCCUUCCUCCCGCACAGGCGCAUCCCAGGGGAAGGACGGUAGCGCGCUUCGUAGACCGGACCUUACAGCCAGGCCACGAAUCGAGAGACUGGAGAAAUUCUUAGUUGGGCCUCAGGGGUUAUCGGGCUCGCGGAGAGGAAGAGUGCUCGCCUAGGCGGCGACGGGAGCGGGGGCAGCAGCGGGGUGGUGACGAGCGGCUAGGCGGCUGAGGUAGCGGCAAGGAGAGACCGGAGGCGGUGGCGGCCGAGAGAGGCGGGAGGCAGCGCGACAAGAAGAAGGAGAGGGGUAGGAGAGGAUUAGAAGAGGCCGCGCGCGUGAGCGCCUACGUCCGCUUACCGAGCCCGUCCUCUGCACCGAGUGUUGCCGCCGCAGAGAGGAGCCCUCCUCGAGCCCGUAACUCCAGCCCCACACGCGACGGGGAUCCUGCCUCAGGUGGAUGGGCACGACCAGUACCAGGUGGUGGUGGUACGGAAGUUAGGCUGGAGGUGGUGAGGUCGUUCGUGCUCGUAGCGUUACCGGUGCCAAACAUACGAUUCUACUUGAACUCACUGCUCCAACUAAACCUUCUAGUACAGAGGUCUGUCCUAUUUCAGUCACGACGAUACUUCGAUCGUACGGACAACAGACGUUUUUAGCCAUUACAAUAGGACGGGUUUCUGAAGCUCUUCCAUUAUAGGGACAUAGAACCACGAGGACAUCAAACGUGUAAGUUAGAGUGGUAACAACAAUUCGAUGAACGGAUGUGUUUCGCAGUACCCUCAACGAAGGGACACUCUCUCUUCUCAAGUUUUUCCCUCUCUCGUUUCUUCUUCCUUUUCCUCUCCCGUCACCCCAGUACGCCUCUGACACCGGCUAAAAAGUCUCUUCUUUCUUGAGAUCUCUCUACGUUUGAUGUCCAACGUCUUCCACUACAUGGUUAACGUAGUGUACCUCGACUUUAACUUUACAUGUUCCUCGAACUUGGUAGCUGAGCGAAUGACUAGAACUUUCGCUAUACGCUGUAUGCACAGCUCCGUAAGUCUGCGGACCGGUUUCUUUUAAGAAAUCGUGUAGGGUAACACCUAAAGUUGACGAUAAGGGGACCUAGGGUGAGGGGGAUGGUAAUAUAAGGAUAAAGCUCCCACGCUUGCCCCUGUUACUCAUCCACCGCUCAUUAUGAUACAGCUCUUAGCUAUGUCCCCGUACUUCGUUCGCUCGUCUUGUAUUGUCGACGGUGUCAAAUGGGUAACUAAAGGACCUCACUAAGUUUGGAUCCUUUCAGACGAUGAACACGUUCGUUGUCCAACACAAUU